AUCAGAGUAGAAAAUAAAGCGUCAAGUGCUGGAAAGAUGGGAUGUUGCUUUCUGGACGAAGGAAUUCGCUUCCGCGGUUUUAUUUUCGCAUUCGCUGCA
rfam:Enterococcus italicus DSM 15952 genomic scaffold SCAFFOLD1, whole genome shotgun sequence.